GCUCCUAUAGCUCAGCUGGCAGAGCGCAAGACUGAAGCCGGAAAAGCGUGUCGCUUCACCAGUGGAUUCAACAGUCCUUCUUGAGGUCACCUGUUCGAACCAGGUUGGGAGCA